UUUUUUUUUUUUUUUUUUGCACACAGACAUCCAAUUAAAUAAUACAUGAUUUGCUGAGAAGACCAUCUUAUCUCCAUUGAAUUGUGCUUCACCUUAAUGGAAAAUCAGUUGAACAUCUUUGUGUUGAUCUAUUUCUGGGCUCACUACACCACUGAUUUAUGCCUCUAUAUGUCCUUUGGCAAUGCCACAGUAUGGAUUACUGUAGCUUUAUGGUCAGUCUUAAAAUAGGCUAAUAUUGAGUCCUCUAACUUCUUUCUCAGAAUUGUUUUGGAUAUUUUAGGUUUUUUUUUUCUUUCCACAUACAUUUAAAAUCAGCUUGUCUAUGCCUACAAAAGAUAUUUCUGUUGACCAGGAUUGUGCUCAACCCAUAGAUCAAAUCAGAACACAGUCAAGUUUUUCAAUUCAUGAAGUUUUCAAAAUUUCACAGUCAAGUUUUUCAUAUACUGAGGCACAGUAUAACUCUCCACUUAAUUAGAUCUUUGAUUUUUUUCAACAGCAUUUUGUAGUUUUCUGCAAACAGACUUCCAUAUAUUUUACUACACUUACACCUAAGUAUUUCAUUUAUUGGUGCUAUUAUAAAUGGUAUUAUUUUUCUUAAAUUUCAAAUUUCAAUUGGCUGUUGAAUUCAGUAUAUAGAAAAGUGGUGAUGUUUGGAUAUUGAAUUUAUGUGCUGUAACUCUGCCAAAUUAAUUUGUUAAUCCUAAGAAUAUUUUUGCAGCUUCUCUAGAGUUUUUUACAUAGACAGUGAUGUUAUAUACAAUUAAGAUACUUUAUUUCACACUGAGCCACAUUAUAAUCAAACUGUUGAAAGCCAAAGCACAGAGCUAAUCUUGAAAGUAGCAAAUGAAAAGUAACUCAUCAAAUGCAAGGGAUUCUCAGCAAGAUUAUCAAGAGAAUUCUUGGCAGAAAUAUCACAUGCUGAGAGAAAUCUACAGUUGUAAACACAUUUAAAAAAGAAGAAAGAUCUCAGAUCAAAAAUGUAACCUUAAACUUUAAUAAGAAAAAAAAAUUCAAGCCUAAAAGGUACAAAACAAUAAGAAUUAGCAUCAAGAUAAACAAAACAGAUUUUAGAAAAACAAUAGAAAAAAACAAGAUCAAAAGUUUGCUCUUUGCAAAGGUCCAGAAAAUUGAUAAUCUUUCUUUAGUUAGGCUAUUAAGAAAAAAAGAAAAAACCCAAAUAACUAAAAUCGGAAAUAGAAGAUGGAAAACUACUGAUAAUUUACAAAAAUAAAAAAGAUUACAAGAAAGCACUAUGAACAAUCAUAUGCCAACAAAUUGGAUAACUUAGAUAAAAUUAAUAAAUUCUCAGAAAUAUAUAACCUACCAAGACUAAAACAAGGAGAAACAGAAAAAUUUUUUAAAGGAUUUUAUUUAUUUAUUCAUGAGAGACAGACAGAGAGAGAGAGAGAGAGAGAGAGGCAGAGACACAGGCAGAAGAAGCAGGCUCCAUGCAGGGAGCCCGAUGUGGGACUCAAUCCUGGGACUCCAGGAUCAUGCACUGAGCUGAGGGCAGAUGCUUAAUCACUGAGCUACCCAGGCACCCCAAUAAACAGAAAAUCUUAAUUGUCCUAAUACUAGUAAGUGUAUGAAAUCAGUAAUCAAAAACCACUCAAAAAAGAAAAUCCUAGGACCAGAUGAAUUCAUUAAUAAAUUCUAUCAAUUCUAUCAUUUGAAGAAGACUUGACAUCAAUUUUUCUCAAUCUUUUCCAAAGAAGUGAAGAUGGAAAAUCUGAAGUUCUCCUAUUAGGCCAGCAUUACUCUGAUACAAAACAUAGGAAAAGACAUUACAAGAAAAUCUAUACACCAUAUCACUCAGGAAUAUUGACGUGAAACUACUCAACAAAACACUAGCCAACAGAAUUCAAUGGCAUAUUAAAAGGAUUAUACACUGACCAAGAGUAAUUGAUUCCUGUAAUACAAGGAUAAUUCAACAUAUGAAAAUUAAUCAAUAUAACACAUUAACAUAAUAAAAGAAUAUGAUCAUCUAACUUGGUGAAGAAAAAACAUUUGACAAAAUUCAAUACUCCUGCCAAGAAAAAAACAACAACAUCUAGGAAGAAAAACCUCAAAAUAAUAAAAGCUAUCUAUGAAAUAUCCACAGCUAACAUUGUAUUAGACAUGGACUGAAAAAUUUUCCUACAAGAUCAGGAAUAAGACAAGGGUAGCUGCUUAUGCAACUAUUACUCAACACAAUAUUCGAAGCCCUAGCAAGAGCAAUUGGGCAAUAAAAAACAGCCAAUUUGGAAAGGAAGAAGCAAAAUUACCUCGGUUCAGAUGACAUGAUCUUAAAUCUAGAAAACUCUAAUGAUCACACACACACACACACACACACACACUCUAUGAGAAUAAAUGAAUUUAAAGAAGUUGUAGGAUACAAAAAUCAAUAAUAAAAAAUCAGUUGUCUUCCUAAAUGUUAGUAAUUAAAAAUCAGAAAAUAAAAAUAAAAAAAUAAUUUAUGGUAGAAUUUAGAAGGAUAAAGCACUAAGAAAUAAAUGUAACUAAAGAGGUCAAAGACUUGUACAUUUAAAACUAUAAAACAUUGCUGAAUUAAGGUACAAAUACAAAUAAAAACAUCUGUGUUCAAAGAAUGGAAGACUGAAAAUUGUUAAGAUGUCAAAACUACCCAAAGCAGACAGAUUUAAUGUAGUCCUGAUCAAAAUCCCAAAGACAAUUUAAAAAAAAAGAAAAACAGAAAAUCCUAUUAUAAAAUUCAUAGGCAUCUCCUGAGACCCUAAAGACAGAACGAUCUUGAAAAAGAACAAAACUGAAGUCUCAUACUACCUUAUUUCAAAACUUACUACCUGAAGAAUUCCUGGGUGAUGAGAC
rnacentral:lncRNA from 1 species